GCGGGCGGAGCGCCGUGCACAGCACCGGGAUGCCGCUCCGCCCCUGUCGGCGCCGACCGGCUGCGGGGAGGGGGAUGCACGGUAACUUCAAAGAUCAGCAACAUAAGCUUUCCUCUUCUGACCUCUUUUUCAUCCUGAAAACAUUCUGAAUGAGAGCUCUUCGUCGGCUAAAGGUUGGUUUCUGCUGGGACAGUCUGCAUUGUUAAUAUUGCUGUCAUAGAGGGAAAAUGUCAGAUACAAGAUUUCUGCUGGAGCAAGGUAAAACUACAUACACAGCUUUACUCACUACAAAAUAUUAUUAUUCCAAAUAUGUCUUAUUUUAAAUAAAUACCUUAUUUUAAGGAAAUUAUUAAUUUACAGUGCCAGAAAGUUCUUACAAAUGUAUCUUGUUACAUUUUGCCAUGUAUCCUAUUUCAUUUCCAAUGGGAUAAAAGCCACAUCUGUUCACACAAAAGCUUAUGCAACCACAGCGUAGCACUCCCAAACCCACAGACCCUAUGAAUGAUAUACAAGUAGAAACAUUAGGUUUCACAUGCUUCCGUGUCAAAAGCAAAGAAAUAAAAUGCGAAGGUAUGGCACUUUCAAAGCACAGUUGCAGAUCAAUCCUACUCAUCAAUUUCAGCUACAAAAUUGGCCGAGAACUGAGAAUCUUUUCAGUUAUGUAGAAUCUAAAAUGAAUACCAAAACCUGACAGAUUUUUCCAUAAUGUUUCCAUAAUGGACUGAUAAUGUUUACAUUGCUCUGGUGGAUGUACAGCUUGGAUCUGAAAGCUGCUAAAAUUCAAGGAAACUAUGCCUUCUUGCCCUGCUUCUCCAUUCUCUCUGCAUGGAGGGAAAGUAUUUUGUUUUCUUCCUCUGCAUUUAUGUGGGCACCAGCCAUAAAAUGGGAAUCCAAAUCCUGAUUCAGGCUCCACCAAAUUUAGAAAUUUGGGAUCUACAGCUUUAUUUUGGGCAUAUUUGUCCUUCCAAAUGCUGUGACACAUCAGCUAAGUAUUUUCUCAAGAGUAAAUGCCCAGGAACACAACGCAUACUGACAGCUCAUCCUGAGAGCAGCUCUUGCACACGGCUUCUGCAGCCCCUCUGUUCUGAUGAGGAAGAAAACCCAUAGUAAUGAUACUUGCAUACCUGUUCAAUACCGUUAUACUUACUAUAUUGAAUGUGUUUAUUAAAAUGUAAUUUUAGUACACAGUACACACCUGAUGCAAUUUGUUACCUGUCACUUCAGUUAGAUUGCAGUUCUCAAUCUGAAAGAUUUACCAAGCAGAAAUAACAUUGUAAGUCUUACGCUGAAUGGAGUGAUGUAGUAUAUGUGUCUGAAAAGUUUUAUAUUUGUCAUUUUUUCACACUAAAAAGCUUUCUUAAGUCUUUAUCAUUUUUCAAGGGACUGUCCUGACUACUUAACUGAAGAAGGAUGCCUUAAUGAAAUAAUGUUUUAGUCAGAAGUAACUUGACUUUCUGCAUCUCUUGUGCUGUUCCUAUCUGACAGUUGCUCAAGGAUGUAUUUGAUAGGGUCUGUUAGAUGCUGCGUCUCAUCUCACCUCAUCCAUGACCCCAAUAUGUUUCAGUUCCAUUUCUACUAAUUAAAUAAGCAGAAUUCUUUCCUAUCCUGAUAGGACUGGGCCAUUUAUUUGCCUUUCCUCAGUCAUAAUGGCAAUUCUGCAGUAACUGAGUAAGAAUAAGAAAAAGCUGUGAAAUCUGGAUGUUGUAUAACACACUCUAUACCCAGAUGGUGAAACUAAGUUAUCUGUAAACACUUUCCAGGAUUGCUGGGAGAGGGGACAUGGUGAAGAAAAGUAAGGGCUGUUAUUUAAACCCUUCCUUACCAUUAAGUUAGCAAGGGGAAUCUUCACCUUGCUUUUCUUUCCUCCUAGUUCCCAGGUCCAUCAUUUAUGAUGUAUCAUACGAAGUAGGUUAUAAAACUGCAAGCAUUAAGCUCUAGACAGAAUUAGCUUUUUUCACAUGCUAUCUCUUGUGACUGUGGCAUUUGCAGGAUCGUAUCUUGUGCUGCAGAACAGAUCAAAGUAUUUCUGUAUGCAAUAUUGUCAUGGUUUUGUAAUUUUGUAAUUUUGCUAUCAGUAUUCCACAUC